CAAGUUUGCAACGGUAAACAGCAAAACAAGCUGUUUGUACAGCUAAUAUAGCUGGAAUGACACCGAAAGCCAGACACAUUAAAUUUAAAAAUGGCCGCGCCCCCUCUUACAGAAAAAAAUAAGGGGCAUAUGUUUAUUCAUAUGUUUAUUUAUGUAACGUAAGCGUGUGACUUUUAAUUUGUGACAUGCUUUCAUGGGAGUGCGCGCGGACCGGAUAGAGUUGCCAUGGAAACGGAGGGCAACACUGCAAAUGUCACGAGGAAACACCCCGUUUCUCGCUGAUUUCACUGUUUUCAGGUGAGUUUAGUCCAUAAAAUCACACAAAUAUUACUUAUAACUGUUGUUGACACUUCUCUUACUUGUAUUUGACUCGCUUCUGUUGUUUAUUUACUUUAUAGGAAUGGUUUAAUGUCUUCGAAAAAGUCCGUUAGCAUCUCUACCGUUUUCAGACAACGUAUCGUCAGGUAUGAUAACUCUAUUGUGCUCUUAUUUAUGAAAGUUUGGGCUUUUAAUCAAAUCUUUAUCUGUAGAUGAUAGCUUUUGACUGUUUUGUUGGUAAUCUUUCAAUGGAUGAUUGGAAAUUGCUUAAUUUAUUUAACCUUAACAUUUACACUUUACUGUUUAUCGAUGACGUCACGUUAUCAAGGAGCGCGAAAAUUGGCAGAAAACUAAAGUUGUUUUGAUCUUUUAUGGUAAACAUAAAACUGUUCUGCGAUUUCAAGAGUGACAAAAUAAUCCUUCUACAACAGAAGGGAGUGUCCAAGAUUUCAAUAUUUCUGAAGGGAGCUGCUGACAGAGAUGUAGGAGGCGCUGAAAAGAUUCUUCAGUGCUGAUGGCCUGCUCCAUCCAGCAGAGUGAACCUACUGUAAGACAACAUCUCCAAGAUGAUAUUGACCACAAGACUAGUACAGGUUAUUAGAAACUGCAAAGCACAGGACUUGUGAGGACUUCAGAUGAUACCAGUACUCAAAAGACCUUAGAUGAUGGCAACUAUAGAUGGACAUACAAACUACCGCCACUGCAAAAGGAAUAUUUUGAGAACCAGUUUCAUUACAAUAGGUCAAUGCAAUCAAAGUAAUUAGCAUUUUUGAAAAUUUCAUAGUUUAGAAUUAAUGAAUGGUUUA